AUCUUUCAUCAAGAGCUGGGCCGACGCCCACGCCAACCUGCCCCGCCCGGGCAAGGUGGAUCGCGAAAGCGGAUGUGGCUUCUAACGAAGCAACCAAGCGGGUCAAG
rnacentral:ncRNA from 10 species